CGGCAUAGGAUGAGUUUGCGUAUCAUUAGCUAGUUGGUAGGGUAAUGGCCUACCAAGGCGACGAUGAUUAGCCGACCUGAGAGGGUGAUCGGCCACACUGGGACUGAGAUACGGCCCAGACUCCUACGGGAGGCAGCAGUGGGGAAUAUUGGACAAUGGGCGAAAGCCUGAUCCAGCAACGCCGCGUGAAGGAAGAAGGUCUUCGGAUUGUAAACUUCUGUUAUAGGGGAAAAAGAAAGUGAUGGUACCCUAUGAGAAAGCCAUGGCUAACUACGUGCCAGCAGCCGCGGUAAAACGUAGGUGGCAAGCGUUAUCCGGAAUUACUGGGCGUAAAGGGAGUGUAGGUGGCUUGAUAAGUCACAUGUGAAAGCCCACGGCUUAACCGUGGAAGUGCAUGUGAUACUGUUGAGCUAGAGUGUAGGAGAGGUGAGUGGAAUUCCUAGUGUAGCGGUAGAAUGCGUAGAGAUUAGGAGGAACACCAGAGGCGAAGGCGACUCACUGGACUAUAACUGACACUGAGACUCGAAAGCGUGGGGAGCAAACAGGAUUAGAUACCCUGGUAGUCCACGCCCUAAACGAUGGAUACUAGAUGUGGGGAGUAUCGACUCUUCCCGUGUCGUAGCUAACGCGUUAAGUAUCCCGCCUGGGGAGUACGGUCGCAAGAUUAAAACUCAAAGGAAUUGACGGGACCCCGCACAAGCAGCGGAGCAUGUCGUUUAAUUCGAAGCAACGCGAAGAACCUUACCAAGGCUUGACAUUAGAUGCAUAGUAUGGAAACAUAUGAAGUUUUGUUUGUAGCAAUACAGAACAUCCAAACAGAUGGUGCAUGGUUGUCGUCAGCUCGUGUCGUGAGAUGUUGGGUUAAGUCCCGCAACGAGCGCAACCCUUGUCGUUAGUUACCAGCACGUAAUGGUGGGAACUCUAGCGACUGCCGUUGAUAAAACGGAGGAAGGUGGGGAUGACGUCAAAUCAUCAUGCCUCUUACGCCUUGGGCUACACACGUGCUACAAUGGCCGUUACAAAGAGAUGCGAAGUAGUAAUAUGGAGCGAAACUCAAAAAGGCGGUCUCAGUUCAGAUUGUGGGCUGCAACCCGCCCACAUGAAGAUGGAGUUGCUAGUAAUCCUGGAUCAGAAUGUCA
rnacentral:rRNA from 1 species